rnacentral:rRNA from 1 species
CUAGCGGCAGGCCUAACACAUGCAAGUCGAGGGGUAGUAAGUCUUCGGAUUUAUGAGACCGGCGCACGGGUGCGUAACGCGUAUGCAAUCUACCUUGUUCAAAGGGAUAGCCCAGAGAAAUUUGGAUUAAUACCUUAUAGUAUUAUAAAAUGGCAUCAUUUAAUAAUUAAAGAUUUAUCGGAACAAGAUGAGCAUGCGUCCCAUUAGCUAGUUGGUAUGGUAACGGCAUACCAAGGCAAUGAUGGGUAGGGGUCCUGAGAGGGAGAUCCCCCACACUGGUACUGAGACACGGACCAGACUCCUACGGGAGGCAGCAGUGAGGAAUAUUGGACAAUGGGCGCAAGCCUGAUCCAGCCAUGCCGCGUGCAGGAAGACGGUCCUAUGGAUUGUAAACUGCUUUUAUACAGGAAGAAACACCCCGACGUGUCGGGACUUGACGGUACUGUAGGAAUAAGGAUCGGCUAACUCCGUGCCAGCAGCCGCGGUAAUACGGAGGAUCCAAGCGUUAUCCGGAAUCAUUGGGUUUAAAGGGUCCGUAGGCGGGCUUAUAAGUCAGUGGUGAAAUCUCCCAGCUCAACUGGGAAACUGCCAUUGAUACUGUAGGUCUUGAAUUAUUAGGAAGUAACUAGAAUAUGUAGUGUAGCGGUGAAAUGCUUAGAUAUUACAUGGAAUACCAAUUGCGAAGGCAGGUUACUACUAAUGGAUUGACGCUGAUGGACGAAAGCGUGGGUAGCGAACAGGAUUAGAUACCCUGGUAGUCCACGCCGUAAACGAUGGAUACUAGCUGUUCGGAGCAAUCUGAGUGGCUAAGCGAAAG